rnacentral:rRNA from 1 species
AUACGGAGGAUCCGAGCGUUAUCCGGAUUUACUGGGUUUAAAGGGUGCGUAGGCGGGCGCCUAAGUCAGCGGUGAAAUGCAAAAGCGGCUCAACCGUUGAACUGCCGUUGAAACUGGGCGCCUUGGAUGCGGUCGAGGCCGGCGGAAUGCGUGGUGUAGCGGUGAAAUGCUUAGAUAUCACGCAGAACGCCAAUUGCGAAGGCAGCUGGCCGGGCCGCAAUCGACGCUGAGGCACGAAAGCGUGGGGAUC